CGCCUUCCCCCGCGCGUCCCGGCCGGUGGUCGGCGGCGGCGCGCACCGUGGGGCAGGGCUGCGGCAGCGGCUCCUCUGGUUUCUCCCAGGGAAGAAACCCCCAGCCGCGGGACGGGUUUCUCCGCGCCGGCCGCGGCUGUGCGGCUCUGCGGCCACAGGGUUCCUCUUUCAACUUAAGCCUCUGUUUACCUUUAUUCUGAAGUCUUUGAAGUGAUUGAUUUCACCUGGUGAAGUAGCAUUUUGCUGCACAUUAGUUGCACUGCAACUGGAUUGCUUGUGCACUAAGACUUUGUUAUUUCAGAGUGUGAUUGAAAAGGAAGCUGGGAAGGCUGAGGCAGAUUGUACUUCCUAUGCUGAGAAGCAUGGACGGACUCAUCCUAUACACAAUAGACAGAGCUUGAUGCAAGAAGAACUUUGAAACAUUUGGUAGAGCCACAUGCGACUGAUCAAAAUAUUCACCCUAAGCACACAAAACAUGAAUGUUAAGAUUUGUUGGAGACGGGACUCACUUGCAGCAGAACAUGGCUUUAUCAGAACUCAGGAGACCCUUCCAACAGAAGUUGUUCUAGCAGCACAAACACU